UUUUGAAAAAGGCACCCCCGGGCGAAAGCGCGGGGUCGCAAAGUCACCGGUCUAAGGGGCGAGGCCCUACGACAGCGGGACCGCCGGA
rnacentral:ncRNA from 1 species